rnacentral:rRNA from 1 species
UAAUACGUAGGUGGCAAGCGUUGUCCGGAAUUAUUGGGCGUAAAGCGCGCGCAGGCGGUCCUUUAAGUCUGAUGUGAAAGCCCACGGCUCAACCGUGGAGGGUCAUUGGAAACUGGGGGACUUGAGUGCAGGAGAGAAAAGUGGAAUUCCACGUGUAGCGGUGAAAUGCGUANAGAUGUGGAGGAACACCAGUGGCGAAAGCGACUUUUUGGCCUGUAACUGACGCUGAGGCGCGAAAGCGUGGGGAGCAAACAGGAUUAGAUACCCUGGUAGUCCACGCCGUAAACGAUGAGUGCUAAGUGUUAGAGGGUUUCCGCCCUUUAGUGCUGAAGUAAACGCAUUAAGCACUCCGCCUGGGGAGUACNGCCGCAAGGCUGAAACUCAAUAGGAAUUGACGGGGACCGCACAAGCGGUGGAGCAUUGGUUUAAUUCGAAGCAACGCGAAGAACUUACCAGUCUUGACUCCUCUGACAAUCCUAGAGAUAGACGUNCCCUUCGGGGACAGAGUGACAGGUGGUGCAUGGUUGUCGUCAGCUCGUGUCGUGAGAUGUUGGGUUAAGUCCCGCAACGGGCGCAACCNUUGUCNUUAGUUGCCAGCAUUAGGCUGGGCACUUUAAGGAGACUGCCGGUGACAAACCGGAGGAAGGUGGGGAUGACGUCAAAUCAUCAUGCCCCUUAUGACCUGGGCUACACACGUGCUACAAUGGAUGGUACAAAGGGUUGCGAAGCCGCGAGGUGAAGCUAAUCCCAUAAAACCAUUCUCAGUUCGGAUUGUAGGCUGCAACUCGCCUACAUGAAGCCGGAAUCGCUAGUAAUCGUGGAUCAGCAUGCCACGGUGAAUACGUUUCCGGGUCUUGUACACACCGCCCGUCACACCACGAGAGUUUGUAACACCCGAAGUCGGUGGGGUAACCUUUCAGGAGCCAGCCGCCUAAGGUGGGACAGAUGAUUGGGGUG